rnacentral:lncRNA from 1 species
UCCUACUUGCAUCCGAUACACUUUCUGGACCGCGUAGAUCCAGCUCUCAUGAAAUAAUUUUCCUUAAUUUAUAAUCUAUAUUAAUUUUUUCUAGUGAAUUUUUGAGUUACGCUUUAAGGCCUCACCCUUGUAUAAACUUUUUCCAAUACUAUAUAUGCUCUCUGGGAGGCUACUGCGUUUAUAAAUUGUAAAACUACUCUUCUUCAGUCUAUUUGGAAUUUGAAAGCCGGUAUUAGCUUCAAUUACUCUUAUAAUGGGGCGCAACAAAACCAGAAAAUACAAAACCAACAACU